rnacentral:lncRNA from 1 species
GAUACUAUCUAGACUUCUGUCGCCUCCUUCUCAUAAACCUUAGCAUUUUUUUUCAAUUUUUUUUUUGUAUUUUUUUGUUUGCUUAAGUGUUUUUCUGUUUCUAUCAUGAUUAUAUCAUUUAUGCCUUUUGGCAUACUUAAUGAAAAUCUUAUUCUGUUUUUUUCCAAUAUAUUCCUUACGUUUUAUCUUUGUCGUUUUGAUUGAUGACAAAGGGGGAGAAAAUGUAUUUAAGGGGAAGAAUCGUAAUUGAUUUUGAUAUACCUAUAUUCUUGAAUAAGAACCCAUACAUUUAUUAAUG